GCUCUGAUUUACUUCUGUCCGGCAUGGUGAACAGCAGGAAUGACUGUAGCUGUUCUCUUUGCCAAGGACAGAUCUGAUCU
ensembl:miRNA